rnacentral:rRNA from 1 species
AGUGAACGCUGGCGGUAGGCCUAACACAUGCAAGUCGAACGGCAGCACAGUAAGAGCUUGCUCUUACGGGUGGCGAGUGGCGGACGGGUGAGGAAUACAUCGGAAUCUACUUUUUCGUGGGGGAUAACGUAGGGAAACUUACGCUAAUACCGCAUACGACCUACGGUUGAAAGCAGGGGAUCUUCGGACCUUGCGCGAUUGAAUGAGCCGAUGUCGGAUUAGCUAGUUGGCGGGGUAAAGGCCCACCAAGGCGACGAUCCGUAGCUGGUCUGAGAGGAUGGUCAGCCACACUGGAACGGAGACACGGUCCAGACUCCUACGGGAGGCAGCAGUGGGGAAUAUGGGACAACGGGCGCAAGCCUGAUCCAGCCAUACCGCGUGGGUGGAGAAGGCCUUCGGGUUGUAAAGCCCUUUUGUUGGGAAAGAAAAGCAGCAGGUUAAUACCCCGUUGUUCUGACGGUACCCAAAGAAUAAGCACCGGCUAACUUCGUG